rnacentral:lncRNA from 1 species
AGAAGCGUGCACCUGCAACUGAGAGACCACAUAAUAGCCGUCAGAUCACGCGGCAAUAAGCAAACGCUGUUAAAGGGAAUGAUGUCGGUCCAAAGUCUCGUGAGUCGUUCUUAAGACACGUUGCUUAGAUGCAGUCGGUGGUACUCUGCCGUAUUUUUUGGUCAUUACCACGAUCCAUUAAGUUCCUAAUUAUAUUCUUUUUCUUAUCACAAACUUCCUAAUUAUAUUCAUUUACUAAAUUUAUUAAGGAAAAAAAUAUUAAGAAAUAUGAAAUGACUAAAUGAGCAAUUACAUAAUUCUUUUCAAAGGUUAUUUUUUUUUAAUUUUAAUUAUUUUCAAGAUUUAAAUCUAGUAAAUUGCAAGCUCAGUAUUUUCGGCCAUUACCAUCAUCCACUAACUUUCCAGUUAUAAGUUUCAAACUAUUAAAGAAAAUAUUAAAAUUAUAAAUUGAGCAAAUGCA